rnacentral:rRNA from 1 species
UUAAUUGAAGAGUUUGAUCAUGGCUCAGAUUGAACGCUGGCGGCAGGCCUAACACAUGCAAGUCGAGCGGUAACACAAGGGAGCUUGCUUCUGAGGUGACGAGCGGCGGACGGGUGAGUAAUGCCUAGGGAUCUGCCCAGUCGAGGGGGAUAACAGUUGGAAACGACUGCUAAUACCGCAUACGCCCUACGGGGGAAAGGAGGGGACCUUCGGGCCU